UGGAUGAGAAAAGGACUGGGACAGGUAACGUCAGUAGAAGGAAAGCUCGUGUGGACAUUCACAGCUCCUCACCUCGGCUACUGGAUUGCAGCACCUUUGUCAUCUACCAGAGGUUUCUUUGGACUUGCCGUCCCCAUGGACUUCAUCCUACGCCAUUCGUUUUUCCUGAUGGUUCUCUCAGGAGGAUUGCUUGUUAUUGUCAUCUGUCUUCUGCUUGGAUUCAUUUGUUAUUGCAGGAGUGCGCCCAGUGAGAAGAAAGCAAUGAAGAUCCUCCCAGUGUUAAAAAAAGACCAAACCACCUCCACAUGCGAUGAUGAAGCAUUUGGAGCAUCUUCAAGGCGUGGCUUUCA